rnacentral:rRNA from 1 species
AUGGUAGGAUAGAGGCCUACCAUGGUUUUAACGGGUAACGGGGAAUUAGGGUUCGAUUCCGGAGAGGGAGCCUGAGAAACGGCUACCACAUCCAAGGAAGGCAGCAGGCGCGCAAAUUACCCAAUCCCGACACGGGGAGGUAGUGACAAUAAAUAACAAUAUGGGGCUCUUACGAGUCUUGUAAUUGGAAUGAGUACAAUUUAAAUCUCUUAACGAGGAACAAUUGGAGGGCAAGUCUGGUGCCAGCAGCCGCGGUAAUUCCGGCUCCAAUAGCGUAUAUUAAAGUUGUUGCAGUUAAAAAGCUCGUAGUUGAAUUUCGGGAUUUAUCCGUCGGUCGGGCUUUUGGGUUUGUACUGGCGUGAUGGAUUCCUACCUUCUGAAUAACCGGCAUGUCAUUAAUUUGGUGCGCCGGGGAAGCAGGACUGUUACCUUGAAAAAAUUAGAGUGCUUAAAGCAGGCUUAUGCCUGAAUACAUUAGCAUGGAAUAAUGAAAUAGGACGGCAUGGUUCUAUUUUGUUGGUUUCUAGGAUCACCGUAAUGAUUAAUAGGGAUAGUUGGGGGCAUUAGUAUUCAAUUGUCAGAGGUGAAAUUCUUGGAUUUAUUGAAGACUAACUUCUGCGAAAGCAUUUGCCAAGGAUGUUUUCAUUAAUCAAGAACGAAAGUUAGGGGAUCGAAGACGAUCAGAUACCGUCGUAGUCUUAACCAUAAACUAUGCCGACUAGGGAUCGGACGAUGUUAAUUUUUUAAUGACUCGUUCGGCGCCUUACGGGAAACCAAAGUGUUUGGG